UACGUAGGUGGCAAGCGUUAUCCGGAAUUAUUGGGCGUAAAGAGCGCGCAGGUGGUUAAUUAAGUCUGAUGUGAAAGCCCACGGCUUAACCGUGGAGGGUCAUUGGAAACUGGUUGACUUGAGUGUAGAAGAGGGAAGUGGAAUUCCAUGUGUAGCGGUGAAAUGCGUAGAGAUAUGGAGGAACACCAGUGGCGAAGGCGGCUUCCUGGUCUGCAACUGACACUGAGGCGCGAAAGUGUGGGGAGCAAACAGG
rnacentral:rRNA from 1 species